rnacentral:sRNA from 1 species
CGGCGAUGGCGGCUGCGCCGGCCUUGAAGCACUGGCGCACCACGCUGGAGCGGGUGGAGAAGUUCGUGUCGCCGCUCUACUUUACCGACUGUAACCUCCGCGGCAGGUGUGGCCCCUGGUCUCCCGCAGCCGGCCGACCGCAACCGUGCGCCUCAAGCUUUCCUUCCGGGGAGAAACCUAAGCUGCAGCCACCCGGGCCGCGGGACAAAGUGCCCGCCGCGGGCAGGGCAGGGCAGGGCAGGGGCCGGGGAGGAGGGGUUAGGGAAUGGACUGUGCCGCGGAGCGGCCAGGCAGCCCUCUUGGCGGAGGAUCCAGGGAAAGUGCGGCCCCACCGGCCAGCUGGUCCCCAGGCGGAAACGGGGCGGCCUCCAGCAUGUGCCCACCGGCCCGUCCCACGCAGGCUUUUUGGGGCCAGCUGCCCUGUGGCUGUGCUCUCCAGCUUCCUGACGCCGGAGAGACUUCCCUACCAGGAGGCAGUCCAGCGGGACUUCCGCCCCGCGCAGGUCGGCGACAGCUUCGGACCCACAUGGUGGACCUGCUGGUUCCGGGUGGAGCUGACCAUCCCAGAGGCAUGGGUGGGCCAGGAAGUUCACCUUUGCUGGGAAAGUGAUGGAGAAGGUCUGGUGUGGCGUGAUGGAGAACCUGUCCAGGGUUUAACCAAAGAGGGUGAGAAGACCAGCUAUGUCCUGACUGACAGGCUG